rnacentral:rRNA from 1 species
UACGUAGGGGGCAAGCGUUGUCCGGAUUUAUUGGGCGUAAAGAGCGUGUAGGCGGCCAGGUAGGUCAGGUGUGAAAACUCGAGGCUUAACCUCGAGACGCCGGCUGAAACCCUCUGGCUAGAGUCCGGAAGAGGAGAGCGGAAUUCCUGGUGUAGCGGUGAAAUGCGCAGAUAUCAGGAAGAACACCCGUGGCGAAGGCGGCUCUCUGGGACGGUACUGACGCUGAGACGCGAAAGCGUGGGGAGCGAACAGG